CGGACGGGUGAGUAAUGUCUGGGAAACUGCCCGAUGGAGGGGGAUAACUACUGGAAACGGUAGCUAAUACCGCAUAACGUCGCAGACCAAAGAGGGGGACCUUCGGGCCUCUUGCCAUCGGAUGUGCCCAGAUGGGAUUAGCUAGUAGGUGGGGUAACGGCUCACCUAGGCGACGAUCCCUAGCUGGUCUGAGAGGAUGACCAGCCACACUGGAACUGAGACACGGUCCAG
rnacentral:rRNA from 1 species